UACGUAGGGAGCAAGCGUUAUCCGGAAUUACUGGGUGUAAAGGGAGUGUAGGCGGGACUGUAAGUCAGAUGUGAAAUAUGCCGGCUCAACUGGCAGACUGCAUUUGAAACUGCGGUUCUUGAGUGAAGUAGAGGUAAGCGGAAUUCCUAGUGUAGCGGUGAAAUGCGUAGAUAUUAGGAGGAACAUCAGUGGCGAAGGCGGCUUACUGGGCUUUAACUGACGCUGAGGCUCGAAAGCGUGGGGAGCAAAC
rnacentral:rRNA from 1 species